GAUAGCGUAACGGCUAUUACAUCGCGCUUUCGAUCGAAAGAUCGUAGGUUCGAUUCCGAGU
rnacentral:tRNA from 14 species